AAACUCAAAGGAAUUGACGGGGGCCCGCACAAGCGGUGGAGCAUGUGGUUUAAUUCGAAGCAACGCGAAGAACCUUACCAGGUCUUGACAUCCCGAUGCUAUUUCUAGAGAUAGAAAGUUACUUCGGUACAUCGGUGACAGGUGGUGCAUGGUUGUCGUCAGCUCGUGUCGUGAGAUGUUCGGUUAAGUCCGGCAGCGAGCGCAACCCACAUCCCCAGUUGCCAGCAGGUCAAGCUGGGCACUCUGUGGAAACUGCCCGUGAUAAGCGGGAGGAAGGUGUGGAUGACGUCAAGUCCUCAUGGCCCUUACGGGUUGGGCUACACACGUGCUACAAUGGUGGUGACAAUGGGUUAAUCCCCAAAAGCCAUCUCAGUUCGGAUUGGGGUCUGCAACUCGACCCCAUGAAGUCGGAAUCGCUAGUAAUCGCGUAACAGCAUGACGCGGUGAAUACGUUCCCGGGCCUU
rnacentral:rRNA from 1 species